UACAGGGGGGGGCAAGCGUUGUUCGGAAUUACUGGGCGUAAAGGGCUCGUAGGCGGCCAACUAAGUCCGACGUGAAAUCCCAAAGCUUAACUUUGGAACUGCGUCGGAUACUGGAUGGCUUGAAUUCGGGAGAGGGAUGCAGAAUUCCAGGUGUAGCGGUGAAAUGCGUAGAUAUCGAGAGGAACACCUGCGGCGAAGGCGGGUUGCUGGGCUGAUACUGACGCUGAGGCGCGAAAGCCAGGGGAGCGAACGGG
rnacentral:rRNA from 1 species